GCCAGGUCCAUGAGCAGGCCGCUGCUGCCUCCUGCCUGUUAAUACACAACAGUACAAUCAGACAUCAGAUACCCACACUAUUUUACACUGACGGCUCCUGCCACCCCCCUCAGUGUUCGUGUCCUGCAUUGGUCUCAUAUCCCAGGGUAUCUCCGAGGGGCUGGUGGGCAAAGAAGGCCCGGGCCAUCUCAUUGAUGUGGUUGUAGGCACCAAUUGAUUUGAAGUAUUCCACGUAGUUCCAGAAGUCAGAGCAGAAGUCAAGACAAUCUUCAUCAGAUGAAUGACAGAGAAAAUGAAGAAUGACCAAACGACUGGGUCGAUCCCUUCACUGAUCAGCAGAUUUUUGGCGUAGCGCACCGUCUCUGGGGGCAGGAAGCGCGAGCGGCCGAGGAUCCAGGCAUAUUCGACAUGGAACAGGCGGAGGAUGUCCGUGCAGGAGUACACCACGGACAAAGUAGUGUAG